rnacentral:rRNA from 1 species
GACGAACGCUGGCGGCGUGCUUAACACAUGCAAGUCGAACGGAAAGGCCCUGCUUGCAGGGUACUCGAGUGGCGAACGGGUGAGUAACACGUGGGUGAUCUGCCCUGCACUUCGGGAUAAGCCUGGGAAACUGGGUCUAAUACCGGAUAGGAGCCAUUUUUAGUGUGAUGGUUGGAAAGGUUUUUCGGUGUAGGAUGAGCUCGCGGCCUAUCAGCUUGUUGGUGGGGUAAUGGCCUACCAAGGCGGCGACGGGUAGCCGGCCUGAGAGGGUGGACGGCCACAUUGGGACUGAGAGACGGCCCAGACUCCUACGGGAGGCAGCAGUGGGGAAUAUUGCACAAUGGGCGCAAGCCUGAUGCAGCGACGCCGCGUGGGGGAUGACGGCCUUCGGGUUGUAAACUCCUUUCGCUAGGGACGAAGCUUUUUGUGACGGUACCUAGAUAAGAAGCACCGGCUAACUACGUG